rnacentral:lncRNA from 1 species
ACUCCUCAAAACAAACAGGAAACAGAAUGCCAAUAGAUGGUCUUAUAUCUAACUCCUCAAAACAAACAAACAACAAACAAGAAACAGAAUGCCAAUACAUGGACUUAUAUCCGACUCCACACAAUAACAAACAACAAGGAAACAGAAUGCCAAUACAUGGACUUACAUCCGACUCCAAACGCUAACACACGCUAACCAGCGAACAACAAAGAAAAAGGUUCUCUGCACGAAC